ensembl:lncRNA
CUCAGGCUGGACUACAUCCACAGUGCUGGUGGUGAUGCUCACAGGACUGGUAGGUUGGGACUCGAGCAUAAUGGAACACACAGGAUUACUGGGCUUAACUUUUCUCCUAGUGGUGCUCCGAGGGUUGCUAGGCCUUCCCUCAGGUCUGGAAGGCUGAACAUCAGGCUGGACCAGGCCCACUGGUCUAACAGGCCGUCUAGUGGGGCCCAGAGGGUUGCUAGGCCUCCCCUCAGGUCUGGAAGGCUGUACAUCAGGCUGGACCAGGCCCACUGGUCUAACAGGCCGUCUGGGUUGCCGAGGGUUGCUAGGCCUCCCCUCAGGUCUGGAAGGCUGUACAUCAGGUUGGACCAGGCCUACGGGGCUAACAGGCCGUCUAGUGGGGCGUUGAGGGUUGCUAGGCCUCCCCUCAGGUCUAGUGAUGCUGACAGAGAUUCUAGGUAUCAUUGACUCAGGCUGGUACAGGCUCUCUGGGCUGCUGGGCCGGGAAUCAGGCAGAAGCUUGUAGUUCUUCAGAACCUCAGUGAAGGAAAGCUCCUUGUUGCGCCUGCGUCUGUUGGUUUUGGCAGGUAGCUGGGAGCUGCUGCUGUUAAACCAACCGGGAGACUCACGACAUCCAUCCUGGACAGGAACCAGGGACUGGAGGUCUCUCCUCUUUCUGUGGGCAGCUGUGGGCCUCUUGGGCCUGACGUCGUCAGGAGGGGGAGCAUGAGGUACAACAUGCAGGGAGGGGAACGCUGAGGGCCUGAAAGAGGAGGCCAUCACUGGGGCCUGGCUGACCUCUUCUCUCUCCAGCAGCACUCUGUUAGAAGGACAGAGUAGCGGAACACCGAUGGACCUUGGUCCUCCAGACCCAUUCAGGUUGGGCCUCCUAUUCAUCAUUCACUGGUCUGCAGUAUUCUAAUCAGAAUGCUCCUUCUAGUCUUGAAUACUUGGAAUAGGAAGUGGCUUUCGGCACCAUUAAAUUCUAUAAAAAGAGAGCCACAGAAACAUCUUUGUUUAGUAUUUGGGGAAAUGUUUUUCAUGUUAUUACCUGUCUCUUAAUUUCAUCAAAUUCAGUUCUGAGUUGAAAUAAUUAUUUGGGAGAAGAUACAUUUUAAUGGAUAUGACAAGUUUGUUCAAUUCAUUUCUAAAAUCAUAGAUAUAACUGGUGGUCAAUAAAACUGUCUAUCCCCUCAUUUAUCUGAUAAACAGACAGACAGGUGUACUUACCGUUCACCUUGUAGUUCAAUCAGCUAAUGAUCCGUCAUUUCACCAGUGGCAGCUUGGUGUUUGAUCAUUACGUCAUCAGAGGCAUUUUGUAUUGUGACGCAACAAUGCCAAGCAUCAACCUUCCUGUCAUGGCUGC